GACGAACGCUGGCGGCGCGCUUAACACAUGCAAGUCGAACGGAAAGGCCUGCUUUCCCUUGUGGAUUGCGGGUACUCGAGUGGCGAACGGGUGAGUAACACGUGAGUGAUCUGCCCCCAACUUGGGUAUAAGCCUGGGAAACUGGGUCUAAUUCCCGAUAGGACUGCAGGGUGGUGCCUGUGGUGGAAAACGAUUUUCUAGUGGUUGGGGAUGAGCUCGCGGCCUAUCAGCUUGUUGGUGGGGUAAUGGCCUACCAAGGCGGCGACGGGUAGCCGGCCUGGGAGGGUGGACGGCCACAUUGGGACUGGGAUACGGCCCAGACUCCUACGGGAGGCAGCAGUGGGGAAUAUUGGACCAUGGGCGGAAGCCUGAUGCAGCGACGCCGCGUGGGGGAUGACGGCCUUCGGGUUGUAAACUCCUUUCGACCGCGAGGAAGCCACCUGGUUGGAAGGGUGGUGACGGUAGUGGUAGAAGAAGCACCGGCUAACUACGUG
rnacentral:rRNA from 1 species